AUUGAACGCUGGCGGAAUGCUUUACACAUGCAAGUCGAACGGUAGAGGGGGCAACCCCUUGAGAGUGGCGAACGGGUGAGUAAUAUAUCGGAACGUGCCCAGUCGUGGGGAUAACGUAGCGAAAGUUACGCUAAUACCGCAUACGAUCUAAGGAUGAAAGCGGGGGAUCGCAAGACCUCGCGCGAUUGGAGCGGCCGAUAUCAGAUUAGGUAGUUGGUGGGGUAAAGGCUCACCAAGCCAACGAUCUGUAGCUGGUCUGAGAGGACGACCAGCCACACUGGAACUGAGACACGGUCCAGACUCCUACGGGAGGCAGCAGUGGGGGAAUUUUUGGACAAUGGACGCAAGUCUGAUCCAGCCAUUCCGCGUGCAGGAUGAAGGCCU
rnacentral:rRNA from 1 species